rnacentral:misc_RNA from 1 species
CCUCCUUAACGACGAAGACCUCUGUUCCGUUCAGGGCCCACACGUUUGCUUGUCUGUUGUUACCGGCAAGAAGCCGGAAGCAAGUGAUUCCCUAGGGAUUAUUUGUUUCCGGUUUUUUAAUCGGUCUUAUAUCUGAUGGUAUAAGAAGCUCUUUAAAAAUUUGGGAAAUGAGAAGUCCAAGUAUUCAAUGAAUACGCAAGCGUCUAAGAAGUAUCUCUGACACUUGUGUCUUUAUGGUGAAUCGUUAUCACGAUGAAUGACCUGGGCGGGAUUGGAGUUGCUUGUCGAAAGGCGGGCGAUGAAGAGACUGUUUUGGGUUAUAUAGUCAAGUGAAUAAGCGUACACGGUGGAUGCA